UACCUCACUCCUCAGUUCUUGCCCUCGGAGCCACCUGGGAUCUUUUCCGUCCUUCUUUUGCCUUUGGCCACCCAGGCAGAAUAAUUUGGCUCCAGGCUCAGUUUGUGCUUGCGUUGAUUUUAGUUUUGGGCCACCUGGACUUGGCAACCUGCCUAUAGGGAGGCUAUCGCAGAGCCACUUGACCGAGCAGGUCCUACCCAUAAGGCCAUGCGAAAGCACUCAGAGUGCCUGAAACCCAAAUCAGUCCCAAAUGGCCAGUUUCUGACCCACAUGGAACCUACCUGGUGGCCAGAAAUGACUCUGGGGCUAGCUGAUCUGGUCCUCAGGUGCUGGCCACGCAUUGGGCAGAGACGGUCUUGUGGCAGUCACUCAGUAACCACAACUCAGGGCUUGACGGUGACUGCCAGUGCUGAACCCUGUCCGGGGGCAGCAAAGCUGGACUGGUGAGAUGUGUCCUGAUGGUUCUCACUUUAGAAAUGGAUUAGAUUGGGGCUUGCUUUGUUUUCUCUCCAGUAGCUGAGGUUCCGAGACUCCCAUCUCCUAGCACUUAACAUUCCUGCCCCGGCAGCGCUACUGCUGUAUAUCGCUUACACUCCCUGCUGACAUUUUAUGGGGGGUUUAAAGCAGCAGGUGUGUGAGAUAGAAGCCGUUGUCAAUCAUUGUGUUAAAAAGGCUCCACCUUUUCAAAUGCCUAAUCAGCCCUUGAUGGGUUGCAGCUGACUGCUAACCAGCCAGCCUUUGAAGCUUUCAAGGCAAACAGCACUGCCCCACUUUGAGAAGCAGUGGGGGACGCUAGAGAAAGGGGCAGCAGAGAAGCCCAGUCAAGGCCACGGCACCACCCUCUCAUGUGAAAGGGGUGGGGAUGCUGAUUGACCGGAGGAAGUCAGCGUGACAUGCGUGGCCUUGCCUCCAGACUGUUGCCGUUCAAGUGGAGCUCAUCACCUGGAAGCCUCUGUUCAAGGGAAAGCAGCCCUAUUUAGGACUGGAUUUCCUCCUUAGAUAACCCAAGGGAGUCCCCUCUGAGAUUCUGGGCUCCUCCGUGGGGUGUAUUAAAUGGAAGAGGGGUAACUCACCCACUUCAUAUGAGGGUCCAGCUAGGCUGCGGGAUUGCUUGUAUCUUUGCCUGCUGACUCAGCUGAGUUCCUGAGGCUCUGUCAGCCACCCUCUCCUCUUUUUCUCUUGCAAAGCUUUUGGGGACAGUCCCAUAAGCAAUGCUGCGGCAGAAAGUGCUCGGCCCUUUAUCGACUGCCAUAGCCCACCCAACACUCGCUUUUUAAUUUCAACAACUUACAUAGUCUUUCUCUUCUAUAAAAAACUCUCAAAUGCACUUUAAAUGUCCCCUUUUGAUCCAGGCUGCAGUCCCAGACUCCCUCUUUAUGAAUAUCACCACUGCACCAAAAUCAGGCUACCACGCCUCCAAGUCACACUGAGGAGCACUGGGGGGGUGUGGCUUUGGGCCCUUGUAACAGUCAUAGUCUUUUUGCAGGCACUUCGUGGAGACCCACUGAAUGAAUCGGAGUCCCUGUCAACCCUGGGGUGGGAUUUGCCUCAGACAUUGGCUCCCCGUUCUCUCCCUUCUUGGACUUCCUGUCUUCUUCUGUUGACUUUCUCUGGACCUCAGUUUGUCCAUUCAGCAUUUUCUGUGAAGGUUCCUUGCUGACCUCCCUAUGACCCCAGCAUCUGACCUCAAGUGUACACCCCAUUCACAUCUUUGAUUGCGCUCUAACGGCUCAGGGGAGCUUUGUUUAUAAAUCUUUUAUCCUCAGUUAAUGGCCUCUGGAAGGUCUGGAAUGUCUUUCAGCUAUACUUUACUGUAGAAACUCAAAUUGAAAGGGAAUUGUUAAUCUCUCCAUUAUCGGUCCUCAGACCUCUAUUAUAGCAUUAUCAUGUAGGAUCCACCUUCAGAGAGCUCGCAGUCUGGUAUGAGAGCAAGACAAGUAAAUUUACCUUAAGGAAAUAUAUAAAAAAUACCACAAUGGGAGGGGGCGGUGUGUGCAAAGGACAAAAUGGAAGGGACAGCCAAGACAAAAAGCUCCAGAAUAUUAUGGGUUAGGAAGAGGUUAAUUCCCACAGGGGAUCCAAGAGACCUUGCUUAGAACAGGUGAUAUUGACAGAAUGCUAUGAAGACUAGUAGAGGUUCCACCGGCAAAGAACCACUGCUGAAAAGACAGGUGGAAGCUUAGCUCCAGAGGACUUUGUAAGCGACCUUGCUGUUGGAAGGAUGGGUUGAAAGAAGACGACUCCACAGGACACAGAACUGCAAUCUUUCCCCCACAGUCUGUUCCAACCCACUGUGUUUGGCUACUUCUCUACGCAUUGGGGGAAACCUAAGGCAGUCCUCUUGGACCCUUCUGCUCCCACUUUUUCAUGUCAGUAAUGACAAAACCCAACCCCAUGUCAUAGUCAAAAAUUCCAAAUUUCAUUGAAAGCAAACCCUGUUUCCUUUUGCAGAUUUGAGUGGUUAGCAUCUUAUCUACGUCUGGUCUCCUACUUGCCUGUUUCUCCCCAGCUUGCUAGCCUGGGCGUGGGGAGGUGUGGGCAGUCACAAGAGGGAGGAGUGAGAAGAAGGGUCUUCCUAGAUUGUGCUGUUGUGAUCUUCUGCGGGUGCCCUCGGGGACUGGUAAACGUUCAAAGCUGAUGUUUUCCUCCAAUGGGCUGCUUUUGUGGACCUUCUGUGAUAGCCAUCUGGGAGCAUUUGUCUACAACUCUCUUAAUAAGAAGUAUUAGUUAUCUAUAACCACAAAGGUAUAUGUAAAAUACCCUAAAACUUAGCAGCUUAAAACAAUAAAUAUUUAUCUCACAUGGUUCCUGUGCUCAGGAAUCCAGGAUCGGCUUAGCUGGUGGUCUGACUCAGGGUCUCAGGAGACUGCAGUCAAGCUGUUGGCCAGGCAGCUGUCUUCUGACGGUUGACCAGGGCUGAAAGAUGUUUCCAAAAUUGCCUAAUUCAAAUGGCUGUUGGCCCGAGGCCUUAGUUCCUGGCUAUGCGACUCUCCCCUUAGAGCCGCUCCAGUGUUCUCAUGACACAGCUCCUGGUUGCUUAAAACAUCCUCCUCCAAACCCAGGAUGAAGUCCCUGUGGGUGAGUUCCUUUUAAAAACAAUCCUCAAUCUGGUCACUCCAAAAGAAGGCCAACCUAGUUUUAUGACAAGAGGGAAAUACAGUGUGUUCCCCAAGUAGCCACUUCUCUGUGCUCCACCAGUAGGCAAAUGGCAAAACCUCCUGUCCUUAAGACUUCUCAGAUGUAGGUCAGACACAAGGUCCGGGAACAGAGACAUGUUUCUCAGGUGGACUCUGUGUCCCUCCUCGCUGGUCUCGGGAUGAGGAAAUAUCCACGGAGGAGGCAGAACAGGCAGAAUGCCACAGCAUUAUAGAGACUUUCUUUUCAGUCCAGUCCACACCUCGAAGGGAUGGAAACAGUUGACGCUGAACAGGACGAGAGUCACAAAACCCCCUUAGAUCACCCCCUUGGCAAGCCCUGCGUCAAGUCUUUGCCACCCGUUUUGUACCCAGCUGUUGAAAGCUUCAUCCAAAACGGAGAGGACCUCUUCCAUUUUAAGAUAUUGUUAUACCAGGCUGGGGAUUUCAGCAAAGCAAGCGUCAGCCCAGCUCUGCAUUUCAAAAGCCAUUUGUCUUCAGUUUCCCCAAGAAGCAGACCCUAAGACAAGGACUUGACUGCAAUUGGGUUAUUUGGGAGGCAAUACCAGGAAAC
ensembl:lncRNA